GACGAACGCUGGCGGCGCGCUUAACACAUGCAAGUCGAGCGAGAACCAGGACUUCGGUCCUGGGGACAGCGGCGAACGGGUGAGUAACACGUGGAUAACCUGCCCUCGGCACCGGGAUAGCCCGAGGAAACUCGGAUUAAUACCGGAUAGCCCUUCCGACUCUCGAGUCGGUCCGAAAAGGUAGCUUCGGCCUCUGGCCGAGGAUGGGUCCGCGGCGGAUUAGCUUGUUGGUGGGGUAACGCCUACCAAGGCAUCGAUCCGUAGCUGGUCUGAGAGGACGAUCAGCCACACUGGGACUGAGACACGGCCCAGACUCCUACGGGAGGCAGCAGUGGGGAAUCUUGCGCAAUGGGCGAAAGCCUGACGCAGCGACGCCGCGUGAGGGAAGAAGGCC
rnacentral:rRNA from 1 species